rnacentral:lncRNA from 1 species
CGUUCCGCCAGCUCCCCACCCCUCGGCCUCCUCUCCUCCCCACCUUCUCCCGCGAACCCACACUCACAAAGAGCCGAGGGGAGAGAGGGUGCGCAGACGGCCAGCCGGGCCGCGCCAGGGACAUACUGGAGACAGGAAGUGGCUGAGAGGGGGAGAGAGUUGGAGAGAGACGGCCGCGGAGGACACGGGGACGGGAAAGUCUGAGAGACGGGGAGAGCCUGACCCGGCGGGACACAGGCAGAAAGAAACACGCGAGCCAGACAGACGCAGAAGAAACGUGCCUGGUACUGGAUAGGAACUUCAUGGAAUGGAGCUAAUGGGCCGUAGGGCAGGUUUGAGUCGUGCCACCCUGGAGCAGAAGGUGGAGGGUAGGGAUAAGGGGGUGGAGCACCUGAUUCCAAUCUUGCCACAGGGAAGAAGAGUCUGUGAAGAAGUGCGUGAUGACUGUGUGUCCCCCCCCACCCAGAAAUUGGCAUUUGGGAGGGGUGGAUAUGGUUGGGACUGGGGAGCCUUGAUCUUACUGCUCUUGGUUGAGUUGGUGUCCAAUAGACAGUUUCAGAGGUUAGAGCAGUGGGAGUCACUGGGGACUGGGGACAGGAGAGGUGGGGGUGGGGGAAGCCAGGCGGGAAUGAGUAGGGAGGCACUGGGAGGAGGGGAGAGGCAAGAGUUAGGGGAAUACCGAGGAAAGUGGCAGGGAUUGGAGGCUCCUGGAGAAAGGGCAAGGCUGAAGGUUGUCCCAUGUAUUUUGGCCAGAUUUGAUUAUGUAAUCGAGAAUCAUGAGAUAAUUAAGUGUGUUCAUGUCUCUGGAGCCUUCAACCAGCUCUUUUAACAUCUUGCUCUUCCCAGCAUUCCUUAGGGUCUUUGGCUGGGCUCUGGGAUGGAUGCCAUGGGAGUACCUUUACUUAAGCUCUAAAGUUACCAAUGGAGAGACUGGGACUCAAAGAGGAACUUGAUUGGACCCCAGAGAGGUGAGGGGUAAGGGCUAGAACCUCACACAUGCUGGUUUUGCUGCUGCCUGGCAGGCCCAUGGGAAGAACUUUAGAGGUUCCAAGGAAUUGGAAAAGGGUCACAAGAUGGGUGGCCAAACUCCCAGCUCAGGCUUGAUUCCUACUCUCAAUGUGGGGAUAGUGGAGAAGGGGGCUGCAGGAAGGGCUGAGAAAAGCUGAGAAUGAGAAGUUAUACAGGAGGUAGCUUGGUGGGAGUGAAACAAAAAUGAGUGGUUCAUGGGCCAGCCAGGCAUCCUGAUUUCCAGCUCACAGCAGCAGGAGCUUCAGAGAGGAAGAAGGAGAGGAGGAGAAAGCCAGGUUGAUGUUAGUAAAGGUCAAACAAUUUCAGGAGCACCUCUGACCUCCCUCCACACAGGUUUUCUUACCUUGACUAUGCAGAGGGUGGUCCAUCUUGGCACUGAAGAUGGAACCCCCUCUUCCAUGGUCUGGGGUGACCCCAUGCCUGUAACUGAAUGUGCUCAGAUCCUUGGGGUGCGGGGACUGUAGGGGGAGGAUUUGAAGGUGUGGGACUGUCCUGGCUGGAGACCACUGGGUCAGGAGAACUCCAGUAGAGGGUUUGGGUGCUGGGAACCAGGAAGAGUGGGGGAAGGGGCAGAGCCAACUCCAGAGGCGGAUCUCCUGGCUGAGGACAGAGGGUGUAUUGUCCAAGCUGGAGGUUGCUGUAGCUGGGCGGGGAGCAGCUCAGCUCGUCUCUUCCAAAUUUCUUUUGGGGGAGGGUAAGGGAAGGCAAGCCCCCCUUUACUUGUGGCCCUGGGGGCUAC